UAGGGAAUCUUCGGCAAUGGGGGGAACCCUGACCGAGCAACGCCGCGUGAGUGAAGAAGGUUUUCGGAUCGUAAAGCUCUGUUGUUAAGGAAGAACGAGUGUGAGAAUGGAAAGUUCAUACUGUGACGGUACUUAACCAGAAAGGGACGGCUAACUACGUGCCAGCAGCCGCGGUAAUACGUAGGUCCCGAGUGUUGUCCGGAUUUAUUGGGCGUAAAGCGAGCGCAGGCGGUUAGAUAAGUCUGAAGUUAAAGGCAGUGGCUCAACCAUUGUAGGCUUUGGAAACUGUUUAACUUGAGUGCAGAAGGGGAGGGUGGAAUUCCAUGUGUAGCGGUGAAAUGCGUAGAUAUAUGGAGGAACACCGGUGGCGAAAGCGGCUCUCUGGUCUGUAACUGACGCUGAGGCUCGAAAGCGUGGGGAGCGAACAGG
rnacentral:rRNA from 1 species